rnacentral:rRNA from 1 species
AUAUUUAUUUUUAACUAAAUAGUAACUAAUAUAAAGCAGAACGCAACUAAUUGAGUACCUACAAACAAAUUUUUAUCAUUAACAUCCGCAAGGGCAUUAAAAAAAUAUUUUUUAGAAAUGAUUUAAUCAUCUACCUUUUGCAUAAUGUAAUUGCAAGAAAAAACAAGCUAAAUUGUUUCCCGAAAAGUGGAGAGCUACUACAGGCAUAUCAUUUAAUGUAACAUUAUUAAAACACAGCCUAUAAUAGCAGCAAAAUACCUAUCGAGCCACUUGAUAGCUGGUUGCUCCUUAAAUACAUAUAAGUGUCUUCUUACAGUUUUUAAGUAAAUUUAUUACUUGUAAGAAAAACUCUAGGGGGGAUAAGCUCUCUAGAGUUUAUAGAAAAAAAAGUAUAUAAACCAUCAGAAAGGCCUAAAAACAGCCAAACUAUCCGUUACAGGAAAUGACAAUAUAACAUUAAUAUAAAACUUAAAAUUCUAAUACUCAAGGAACCUUGCUGAAUAACUAACCCAUUUAUGAACUGGCAAUUAUUAGUAUCUGAAGCGAAUAAAAAAGCUUUUUUUUUAAAAAAAAAUAGCCCAUUAAUUUUUCCAAUUAAACCUCAUUGGUAAUGAACUCGGCAAAACUCUUCUCUGCCUGUUUAUCAAAAACAUCGUCUUUUGCUUUAUUCAUCUAUAAAAGAUACUGCCUGCCCAAUGAUUUUAAUUAAAUGGCCGCGUUAGCGUGAGCGUGCUAAGGUAGCGUAAUAAACAGCUCCCUAAUUAGGAGCCAGUGAAUGGCCAAACAGAGAAUAGCUCUAUCACCAAUGAUAGGAAAAUUUUUCAUUUAAGUGAAAAAACUUAAAUAAAAGAAAAAGACAAAAAGACCCCGCGGAACUUCCUCAAAGCUUUAUUACAUAAACAAAACUUAUGCUUACAUCUUACUGGUUGGUUGGGGCAACCUUGGAGCAAAACAAACCUCCAUUACUUUUAAAAUACCAUACAAAACUUGAUAUGGACUAUAUUUGCAGUUACCCCGGGGAUAACAGCGUUAUCCAACUUAAGAGUACGAAUCGAAAGUUGGGUUUGCGACCUCGAUGUUGGCUUAGGGAAAGCAAUUUGGCGCAGCCGCUAAAUUACAAUGCCAGUCUGUUCGACUGCUAACCCCCUACACGAGCUGAGUUAAGACCGGCGAGAGCUAGGUUGGAUUCUAUCUUUUCCUCUAAAACAAAUUCUUUAUUGUACGAAAGGACCCAAAGAAACACAUAUAAAGUGUCUUUAUAAAGUUACAAAACUAUAUUAAUCUACACCAAU